rnacentral:rRNA from 1 species
UACGUAGGGUGCAAGCGUUGUCCGGAAUUAUUGGGCGUAAAGAGCUUGUAGGUGGUUUGUCGCGUCUGCUGUGAAAAUCCGAGACUCAACCUCGGACUUGCAGUGGGUACGGGCAGACUAGAGUGUGGUAGGGGAGACUGGAAUUCCUGGUGUAGCGGUGGAAUGCGCAGAUAUCAGGAGGAACACCGAUGGCGAAGGCAGGUCUCUGGGCCAUUACUGACACUGAGAAGCGAAAGCAUGGGGAGCGAACAGG